GCAUUGGUGGUAUAGUGGCAGCAUAGCUGCCUUCUAAGCAGGAGACACUGGGUAGAUUCCAUGCCGCCAAUGCA
rnacentral:tRNA from 1 species